UUAGUGGCGAACGGGUGAGUAACACGUGGGCAAUCUGCCCUUCACUCUGGGACAAGCCCUGGAAACGGGGUCUAAUACCGGAUAAUACUUUCUCCCUCCUGGGAGAAGGUUGAAAGCUCCGGCGGUGAAGGAUGAGCCCGCGGCCUAUCAGCUAGUUGGUGGGGUAAUGGCCUACCAAGGCGACGACGGGUAGCCGGCCUGAGAGGGCGACCGGCCACACUGGGACUGAGACACGGCCCAGACUCCUACGGGAGGCAGCAGUGGGGAAUAUUGCACAAUGGGCGAAAGCCUGAUGCAGCGACGCCGCGUGAGGGAUGACGGCCUUCGGGUUGUAAACCUCUUUCAGCAGGGAAGAAGCGAAAGUGACGGUACCUGCAGAAGAAGCGCCGGCUAACUACGUGCCAGCAGCCGCGGUAAUACGUAGGGCGCAAGCGUUGUCCGGAAUUAUUGGGCGUAAAGAGCUCGUAGGCGGCUUGUCACGUCGGUUGUGAAAGCCCGGGGCUUAACCCCGGGUCUGCAGUCGAUACGGGCAGGCUAGAGUGUGGUAGGGGAGAUCGGAAUUCCUGGUGUAGCGGUGAAAUGCGCAGAUAUCAGGAGGAACACCGGUGGCGAAGGCGGAUCUCUGGGCCAUUACUGACGCUGAGGAGCGAAAGCGUGGGGAGCGAACAGGAUUAGAUACCCUGGUAGUCCACGCCGUAAACGUUGGGAACUAGGUGUUGG
rnacentral:rRNA from 1 species